rnacentral:rRNA from 1 species
CCUACGGGAGGCAGCAGUGGGGAAUAUUGCGCAAUGGGCGAAAGCCUGACGCAGCGACGCCGCGUGAGGGAUGAAGGUCUUCGGAUCGUUAACCUCUUUCAGCCGGGAAGCACGGGCACUGUGCUAAUCAGCAGUGAAUUGACGGUACCUGCAAAGGAAGCACCGGCUAAAUCCGUGCCACCAGCCGCGGUAAUACGGGGGGUGCGAGCGUUAAUCGGAAUUAUUGGGCGUAAAGGGCUCGUAGGCGGUAUGUCAAGUCUAGGGUGAAAUCCCCGCGCCCAACGUGGGAGCUGCCGUUGAAACUGGCAAACUGGAGUGUGUGAGAGGAUAGCGGAAU